rnacentral:rRNA from 1 species
UACGUAGGGUGCAAGCGUUAAUCGGAAUUACUGGGCGUAAAGCGUGCGCAGGCGGUUGUGCAAGACAGAUGUGAAAUCCCCGGGCUUAACCUGGGAACUGCAUUUGUGACUGCACGGCUAGAGUGUGUCAGAGGGGGGUAGAAUUCCAACGUGUAGCAGUGAAAUGCGUAGAUAUGUGGAGGAAUACCGAUGGGCGAAGGCAGCCCCCCUGGGAUAACACUGA